UCCCUGGUGGCUCAGACAGUAAAGCGUCUGCCUAUAAUGCAGGAGAUCCAGGUUCAAUCCCUGGGUCGGGAA
rnacentral:tRNA from 1 species